GACGAACGCUGGCGGCGUGCUUAACACAUGCAAGUCGAACGAAGUGGCGAACGGGUGAGUAACGCGUAAUCAACCUGCCCUUCAGAGGGGGACAACAGUUGGAAACGACUGCUAAUACCGCAUACUGAAGGAGGGGAUUGCGUCUGAGUAGCUAGUUGGGGGGGUAACGGCCCACCAAGGGGAUGAUCAGUAGCCGGGGUGAGAGGACGAACGGCCACAUUGGGACUGGGACAAGGCCCAGACUCCUACGGGGGGAAUCAGUGGGGAAUCUUCCGCAAUUGACGAAAGUCUGACGGAGCAAAGCCGCGUGAGGGAUAACGGCCUUCGGGUUGUAAAGCUCUGUUAAUCGGGACGCGGUACCGGAAUAGAAAGCCACGGCUAACUACGUGCCAGCCGCCGCGGUAAUAC
rnacentral:rRNA from 1 species